UAAAAUAAAAAAAACAAGAAUGUGUCCUCAGUACACGAAUGCCCCACUCGCACUAUCAUUUUCCAUGUUCAGUGGACCGUGAAAUUGGGGUAAAAACUCUAAUUUGGCAUUAAAAUUAGAAAGAUCAUAUCAUAGGGGACAUGUGUACUAAGUUUGAAGUCGAUUGGACUUAAACUUCAUCAAAAACUACCUUGACCAAAAACUUUAACCUGAAGCGGGACAGACGGACGGACGAACGGACGGACGAACGAACGGACGGACGGACGGACGCACAGACCAGAAAACAUAAUGCCCCUCUACUAUCGUAGGUGGGGCAUAAAAAAGUAUA
rnacentral:lncRNA from 1 species